GGGGCUGUGGCUCAGUGGCAGAGCCUCUACUUGGCAUGCCGAAGGUUCCAUGUUCAAUCCUGGGCACCUCCA
rnacentral:tRNA from 1 species